rnacentral:rRNA from 1 species
UACAGAGGGUGCGAGCGUUGUUCGGAAUUAUUGGGCGUAAAGGGCGCGUAGGCGGUGCGGUAAGUCACCUGUGAAAUCUCCUGGCUCAACUGGGAGCUUGCAGGCGAAACUGCCGUGCUGGAGUGUGGGAGAGGUGCGUGGAAUUCCCGGUGUAGCGGUGAAAUGCGUAGAUAUCGAGGAGACAGCGGCGAGGCGAGCCGGUCGAUCGUAGG